UUACACAUGCAAGUCGAGCGGAGUGAGGNACUUGCACCUUAUCUUAGCGGCGGACGGGUGAGUAAUGCUUAGGAAUCUGCCUAUUAGUGGGGGACAACAUUCCGAAAGGAAUGCUAAUACCGCAUACGUCCUACGGGAGAAAGCAGGGGAUCUUCGGACCUUGCGCUAAUAGAUGAGCCUAAGUCGGAUUAGCUAGUUGGUGGGGUAAAGGCCUACCAAGGCGACGAUCUGUAGCGGGUCUGAGAGGAUGAUCCGCCACACUGGGACUGAGACACGGCCCAGACUCCUACGGGAGGCAGCAGUGGGGAAUAUUGGAUAAUGGGGGGAACCCUGAUCCAGCCAUGCCGCGUGUGUGAAGAAGGCCUUAUGGUUGUAAAGCACUUUAAGCGAGGAGGAGGCUACUGAGACUAAUACUCUUGGAUAGUGGACGUUACUCGCAGAAUAAGCACCGGCUAACUCUGUGCCAGCAGCCGCGGUAAUACAGAGGGUGCGAGCGUUAAUCGGAUUUACUGGGCGUAAAGCGUGCGUAGGCGGCUUUUUAAGUCGGAUGUGAAAUCCCCGAGCUUAACUUGGGAAUUGCAUUCGAUACUGGGAAGCUAGAGUAUGGGAGAGGAUGGUAGAAUUCCAGGUGUAGCGGUGAAAUGCGUAGAGAUCUGGAGGAAUACCGAUGGCGAAGGCA
rnacentral:rRNA from 1 species